UCCAGGCCGAGCUGUGAGAGCCACCGCCCUUCUGGAAAGUUCGGCGCGGUUUGUGGCGCGGCGAGGACCUGCAGAGCCGUGAACCCGGCGCUGGCCGUGAGGAAGGAGGUGGAAGUGCUCCUGGCUGCAGGGAAGCGUGCUGAAGUUGAUGGCGUGGUCAGGUGCAGCAGUGGCAGAGCUUAGCAGGUCUUUCAGAAUACAGUCUUUUCACUUCUCUUUCUCCGAAGAAAGCAAGGCAGGACGAAACGUGAAGCAUGUGAAAAAAAAACCAGGGUAUUACUAGAAGCAGGACGGGUGACGCUGGCUGGUCUUUUGAUCUCCCGGUGCAGGGAGCUGAGCAGCUGCUCACGGUGGCUCUGAUUUCCUGAAGAAUUGUGAUGUUAGCUGGAAAGUGGUGGAAAAGAAAACAGUUUCUAUUGGGGUGUAUGGAAACGGGGUUUUGUAGGGUUAAAAGACAUGAAACUGGAAUGAAAUGUUUUUGUUAUUGUUACUUUUUCCCUUUCCGUAUUAAUUUCCUAUUGAUAUAGGACUUCAUGUAAAUGCAGCUUUUUUAACUGAAGAUUUGAUUUCUUUCCUGUAUCCGAACUGUAUAUAUAAUGAUACAGAAUAGAGAAGAACUGAGAAACCUUUUUUGUCUGUCUUCACCAGAGCAUUUGAUUCAGAAUAUAACCAAAAAUACAAUGCUGAAUAUAUUUUUAUUUAAAAUACUUCUGGAUGCAGAAAUGCCAAGAGUUAAUUAAAGCAGGUAUAGAGUGCUGAAAAAUAUUUUCUUUCUGAAAUCAUAACCAUGAAUUAAACUAAAUGCAUAAUUAGGAAUCAGAGUUAGACCAUACAGCCAAAAGGCAGAAAAAGGUUUCUAAUUAUCUUGUGAUUUAAAUACGUUUUUCAUUCAAAGAAAGCCUAAAAAUAGCCUCUCUUACAGCCUGAAGUUUUGCAGAGCCCUGUGGUAAUGCAGUGUACCUCUAAUAAAUCUGUCCUCCUGUGUUGCAAAGAUCUCCAAGUGCUCAUCUGAGAAGCUUGCUGUCUGUGUUUCUCCCUGAGCUGGAACCACUGGGGCUCUGUGCUGUAGUUUUGGAUGGCUGAUAGUGCUGUGUUUAGUCCAAAAACAUUACUGUGUUUUUUAUCCUUGUGAUGGGACUCUGCUGUUGGUGGUUUACUUAAAACAAAGGCAGAUGCUGGCUGUGGUGCUGGCUGGCCAGCUGAAGCUAUCUGGGGUAUUUCAAGUAUUUCUGGGUUUUCACUGGCAAGGAUAAAAACAUCUGUAGCUGUCUGUCCUUAAAGCUGCUGCUUCUGGCUCAGCUAUUCCUCUUGGAAUUCCCAGGGUGUUUGGGAAUGCUGGCAUUGAGGGCAUGCAGCAAUGCCAUCAUUGGCUGUUUCAGACCCCGGUCCUUGUAGUAUGAGGUACUGCAGUGGAUGUUAUCUUUGCUAGAAAUAAAGUUAAACAUCAACACAGAGAAAACAGAAUCAGGGUACAGAAAGGCUGCGUGUCUGUUUCAUUACAGGAUAUGCAUGUCUUCGUUCUGCAGAAACUUUUCAUCCAUUUAAUCAGUGCUUCAGUAUAUCCUGAGGGCCAUUCUUUCCUCUAAAAAGUUGAUUUUAUUCCACUAAAAAAGCUGCAGUUAAGGCUGCCCCGCGCUUUGGGAGAGACAGCAUUUGGUUCACACUGCAACCUCUCAGCACGGCUUAAGCUCAGUGUGGAAGGAACUGCAGAACUCCCCUUUGAGUUCCAGUCCUGCGUGUGAGUGGUGGUUUUGUUGUAUCCCCACUGGAUGCACUUAAAUCUCCUUAAACCCCAGCUUAAAAAUGAAUUCUAAAUCAUUAAACUCCUUUAUGAGCAUUUAGAAGGGAGUUUGGACAGGCUGAGCUGAACGGAUCAUAAAGGAUUGCUGCUGGAGAGGUGUGGGUUGUGCCGGGGCUCAGGCUGUAAUAUAAGACCACAUUCCUUUCCUGUGAGCUUUACUGUAUGACUGCUGCCAAGUCACAAGAGUCCAUAAAGGCACUUGCAAGCUGAUAGACAGUUAAAUCCAUGGAGAGCAUCUGGAGGGAAGCAGGCUGCUGGACGGGAAGGAGCGUCCUCUCCAUUCAGCGUGUGAAAGUCCAUUGCUUGCAAGCAUUUGUGUCUGGUAUCUGACAUCCCUGAGCUAGGUCUUGAAAACAACUGCUCUUUUCAGGAAACCCAUAUAACCCACAGUGAGGUGAUGAAGAUCAUUCAUUUUGGUUGUUUUCCUAUUUAAAAAAUCCAACAAAACUAUUAUACAGAGCAAGCAGACGCCAAGCUUGGUAAUCUGGCUUUGUAACACUUGUUCUUCUGUUUUCUCUCAGAGAAAGAGUGUUCUCUUUAUUUCAUUCUAGCUUCUGGCUUCCGUCACCGAAAGCACCAGGGCGCCCUGCACCACAGCAGUGCCUGGGAGCACCACGUCGUGCUGCUGGGCUCUGCAGCCUGCAGGGCCAGCAUGGGCAGCCCUGCUCAGCAUUCCCUUUUCUUGCUUGUCCCGGCUGUAGAGGGGUGAGGAACACACAGAAGUAAGAGCAGGAGGCAGUUUCUGGAAUCACAGAGAAAGUGCUGCCUGCAGUUCUCUUUGUACGUUUUCCAUGUGAUGACACAAAUGUUCAGUUUUUUUUCUCUUGCUUUCAGACUGCAAUUUCAGUAACUUAUGUCUUUCCUCUCCUGGGAAGUUGAACGAAGAUGUAAAUGAUACAUAAACCCAUUGAUGCCACAUAUAAGUCCAGGAGUACAUAUUUAAUAGCACUCCCUAAAGCCAGCUGAGAAGCAGCUGUGUUCCUACGUGUUCCGUACAGCUCAUCUUUGUCUCCAUGGACGCCCAGUGGAGUGCCAUGCUAACUUCCAAGUGCUUGCAAGGCCUUUGUAAAGGCAGGGGAGCCUCUGGGCAGGGCUGUUCCCAGCUUGGUACAGCACAGGCUGUCAGUGCUGGGCACUUCGCAGCACGCGAUGCUCGGCCUGCUGCUGGGACGGCCCUGUGACUCCAUGUUUUUCCUGAGUGACUUGAAAAGUAUUUAAACUCACUGCUAACAUCCAUAGAACAGCUUGUUCCCCAGAGCAGCUCUGCUGGGUAGAGUUUCUGCUUUGGGACCGAAAUACCCGUUUCAAGGUCGCAGUCGCCUUUAGGUUGAUUUCUGUAUAAACUAGUCUGAUUUUGAGACCAACUGAAAAGCAGAAGUAAUAUUUUGUCUAAGGAGACUCAUGUCAUAGAUAAAGAUAAUCUCAAAGGGCUGCUCAGGCUGAGUGCCUUAGCUGUUCUCCCUCAGACAGAGGCCUUUGGCAAGGCAUCACUUUGUCUGUCCGUAUCUUUUUCCCCCUCUUUUUAAAUUCAGACUUCUUCUUUUGGGAUUCACUUCCUGGCUUGGGAAGUGUCUCUCUGUCCUCAUCUUUUUUUCUUGUUAGUCAGUGUUGUACGAAUUCUCACACAUCUCUGCUUCUGAUAUGCUUGUUUAAGAUGAAGGUGUUUCUUUACUUUCUUGCCAUACAGGCUUCUACACACCCCUUCUCCUUUUUUUCUUCCUCACUCCUGCACCUGUCAGUUCUUGAAUUCCAGUGCCAGAACCUCCGUUUGCAGACUCUGCAAUAAAUGUGCUUUGUAAACUGUGCGUGUGCAAUACCUUGCAGUACUGAGCCCCGUGCAAGCACACAGCUGUGUCAGUGUGCUGGGGUUCAGGUGUGCUCCUUUGCUGCAGGAGGAAGCACUCUGGUGUGUUACUGUAGGAAAUGCAGUGCUGGCUCAGUGUCAGAAAAGAAACCCAGAUCCUCUGCCAUGGUGUUCACUAAUCUGAGGCCCUCAGAAAGGAGCUCUGCGUGGACAGCUGGAGAUGUGCUUUGUAGAGGAGAGAGAGUAAGCUGAAGAGAACUCUGAUGUUGCUGGUUCUGUUUCCUAUUGCACCAGUGAUGCAAGAGAUGUAGCAGAAGCGGGGCUGGAUUGUGUGCUUCGCUGAGCAAUCCUUAAUAUAAUGACUUCUGGACUACUUCCAAAAUUACCUGAAUGAGAUAGGCUACAAAAAAAGAAAUCAAAAAAUCAAACAUGGGAGAAGAAAAAUACAACAAUACAACAGUACCAGGGAAUCCCAAAUUUUUGUUUGGUAUCCAUUGUCUGACACUGGCUUACACUUCAUUCUGCAAAAGUCACUCUAGAUACUUUUUUUUUUUUUUUUCUUUCUGCUGAAAAACGAUGCUCAGUGCUGAUAGGAAAAACCAGCAGACGGAGGCAGGGUUGGAAUACAAAAGAUGUAGAUGUAGUUCACUGCCAUGUCAGGAGGCUUCCUCAUUGCCCUGGACAUGUGCUUGAUGUGUUUGGAACCCAGCAAUAAAGUGGGAAGAAUUGCAGAGGGCAGUGACAGAGCUGGAGGUCACCAAGUAGGAAGACAAGGACUCUGAAGAGAUGCUUGAGUUGUGUUUGCAGUCACUGUGCUUUUAGCAGAGAAUUGCUGUAUCUGAGUGCUGAGAUGUGCUUUGGGGUUUUGUGGACUUGUGUUUCGUGUGUAUAUGCACAUAAAGAUGUGUGUAGCUGGUCAACAUUUAUUUUGGUAGAGCUGUAUGGAUUCUUAUGCAUUGCAUAUUUAAUUGCAUUCACUAUUAAUAGGAUCCAAUCUUAAUUAAUAUAAGGUUCUUUUAGAGAAGCAAAUGAGAACAAUUUCAAGAUCUACUGAAGAAGAAAGAUAAUGAGUUCCAAAAACGAUGGUGUAGUGGAUGAGAAAAUGGAUUUAACAAAAGUUGGAUCUGGGAUGUGGCCUUUCUUUUUAAGGAUCUUGCAGGAAACAGAGCUGUAAAGGGACUUUGAAGCUCUGUACGGUAGGUUAGGAAAUAAGCCAUAGCCAAGGUGAUGGAGGAGCAAAGGGCUCAGAUAACUUUUAUCAUACUGUUUCCUAAUGAGAAGAUCACUCAAUUGAUGGCUAGAAAGUAAGAACAGAAAUCUGACUGAAAACGAGUUAGACUUGAGCUUAAUGAAGCUGUACUGCUGAAUUUCAGCACGCAUCAACAGAUCGAAUCCUGACGGCUCAAAUGGAUUUGAGUUAACUGGCAGGUUCAGGGCUGAACCUCAUAGCUGGAAAGGAAAAUGCCAUUUUUUGCAGCAUGUUUAGAUAAGGAAUGACCUUAUGAGUGCUGAUACUGACCAAAAAGGGAUGAACUCCUUACGUGGCUUGGAGAGCUUAUUGUGCAUUGUACAAUGCCAUGGAAAAGAACUGGUGAAAUGAGAGAGCAGGUUCUCAUGUAGCUCCCCCGGGCAUGCAGUCAAACUUACAGUUAGUCAGGUGCAAUUAGUCAUGGGCAGCCAAAAUCAUGGCCUUCAGUACAGAACUCCUGCAGCCUUUCAUGGAGCCAGGACCUCACCCGUUACACGUGUUGAUGCAUAGUUUCCACUGGAGAAACCUCAGCCAAGAAGCUCAGUGAAGCGUGGAGUCUGAAAGUAGAGUACAAAUGGCAAACCUGAAUUUAAGGAGGAGAGGCAUACUUCAGUGUCACCUCGCUAGAGAAAAACAGAUAGAAGCUUCCAUGCCUCACACUCUGCUUCUCCUCAUUUUCUGAUUCUGUUGCUAUGGCAUUCAUCACAUUCCAGUGUUUUUCAUGCAGCAAAGGGACAGCGUGGUGCAUCACUCUGAGUUCUUGGCUGUCUGGGUGCCUGGGUCAGCUGCAGCAUUUCUGACAGUCAGCCCAAUUUAGGGAAGAAAUGUUAGCUCCUUGGAAACAUGCCUGCAGUAAUGACUGCCCCUUCCCUGUCACUUAUUCAGGCGUUGUCUGGGCAAUGUGCAGGCAAAGAAGGAAAAAAAGAAGAAAAUAGCAUCCUUCAGCUUCAGAGACGUGGUUGUGCAGGCUCCCAAGCUUUCUGUCGUUUCUAGUAGCAACCACAAAAUAUCUUCAGCUGUGGCAAGCAUUGCUUCAGUCCUUUUGUUUGGCAGUGUUUGAAGCACCUUAUCUUCCUGCUAGGCUCUUUAAAUAGCAAUAUCUUCUGAACUAUUUGUCUUCAGUUAAAGGAGUUUGUGUCUGCGUUUUUCAGACCGUUCUCCUAUGGAAAGGGCAUUGUUAGCAGUAAUGAGAUGAAAUUCACUUUCAGACAUGUAAAUGGAAUAUUAAAACUGGAAAAAUACCAUAUAGAAAUAAGUUGGAGAUGGGUGGACUCGAUUUUUGAUUUCACAGUUCUCUUUUAUGAUUCUGAUUCACUGCACGUUGUGUGCGCAGACAUGCAGGUAGGUGUGAAUUUUGGAAAGUUUGAUAACCUUUAGUAGAAAUAACCCACCUGAGCAGCAGACCUUGUCACCCAGGGCCUCGUUAUCUCCAUUGAAGUCCCUGCAAGCUUUACUAGCGAAAGUGUCGUAGAUACAAAACUUGUUAGAAAAUUAAAAGUAACCAGAAAGGAGUUCAAACAACUCUACUGAAGUAAGACAGGGCUUCCAUAUCUCAAUUUAAAAUCCCCUCCCAUCCCAGACUCGAUCAGGAUACUGAAAUCUCAGGUUCUCCCUGCUGGAAGAUUCCCGGGCACCUCAGUGAAUGGCGGGCGCCAGGCAGCUGCUGGAGGUGGUCUCUGGAUCUGCUUCUGAUGCAGCAAAUCAGGAUCUUGCUUUAGAUGUGAUGCUGCAUACAAUGAAAGCACCAGUUACUGCUGUGUCCCAUUAACUUACGCGGACACUGCCUGAAGGACCCCAAAGGCACACUGAUGGCGUUGGAGCGACUCGCAGUCUGUUGCUUCUAGACAGUGUGCACCACUGGCUGUUACUGGGAGCUGCUGCGAGGCAAGGGAUAGGGAGAGAAGAACAUUGCAGUGAAACGUUUUUCAUACUCAGUGGCUAAAACAAAGGCAGUCAGAACACCAGCAUUGACAGAUUCUUUUUUCCUACUGUACAAUCUGUUUUUUUCUCCUGAAAGCUUUUUAAUUAAUGCUACAGAGCAUUAACUUUUGCUGAUUAUUGCAACAACAGCAAAAACAACUAAGAGGGAAAUGGGAAGAACCAAGGAACAUACCUCGUGCUGAUUGAUUUAUAGUUACAAUUCAGCUGAACAACAGCUGUAGUUGUGCUGAAAAGAAAGGGCAGGGGGGCAGAAGGGGGAGGCUGUGUCCCAUCCUGGUGGCUGUGAGCACAGAGGCCUGUGCCUUCAGAUUGUGUCAGUGUAAGUUAAUGGGAUGCAGCAGAGCGCAGAGGCAGAGCAGCCUCUCCAGCACAGCCCUCGUGGCAAGAGGCAUCACUGCCUUGUUGGGUUCGCAUCCCUGCCACAGAGGGGAAAACAGCAGAAGGUGAAGAAACUCACGGGUGACCGGGCUGCAUCCAGGUGUC